GACCACGUAGCUCAGUUGGCAGAGCAUUGGGCUAUAGUAUUCCAAAGGUCGUAGGUUCGAUUCCCACCGUGGGCG
rnacentral:tRNA from 1 species